UACGUAGGGUGCAAGCGUUGUCCGGAAUUAUUGGGCGUAAAGAGCUCGUAGGCGGUUUGUCGCGUCUGCUGUGAAAUCCCAGGGCUUAACCCUGGGCCUGCAGUGGGUACGGGCAGACUAGAGUGCGGUAGGGGUGACUGGAAUUCCUGGUGUAGCGGUGGAAUGCGCAGAUAUCAGGAGGAACACCGAUGGCGAAGGCAGGUCACUGGGCCGCAACUGACGCUGAGGAGCGAAAGCAUGGGGAGCGAACAGG
rnacentral:rRNA from 1 species